rnacentral:rRNA from 1 species
GACGAACGCUGGCGGCGUGCUUAACACAUGCAAGUCGAACGGAAAGGCCCUGCUUGCAGGGUACUCGAGUGGCGAACGGGUGAGUAACACGUGGGUGAUCUGCCCUGCACUUCGGGAUAAGCCUGGGAAACUGGGUCUAAUACCGGAUAGGAGCCAUUUUUAGUGUGAUGGUUGGAAAGUUUUUUUCGGUGUAGGAUGAGCUCGCGGCCUAUCAGCUUGUUGGUGGGGUAAUGGCCUACCAAGGCGGCGACGGGUAGCCGGCCUGAGAGGGUGGACGGCCACCUUGGGACUGAGAUACGGCCCAGGCUCCUACGGGAGGCAGCAGUGGGGAAUAUUGCACAAUGGGCGCAAGCCUGAUGCAGCGACGCCGCGUGGGGGAUGACGGCCUUCGGGUUGUAAACUCCUUUCGCUAGGGACGAAGCUUUUUGUGACGGUACCUAGAUAAGAAGCACCGGCUAACUACGUG